UGAAAUGAUGAACGUCGUAGAAUUCCUACAAAGUUAUCAGUGUCAGUAACUAGCAUACGCUUAGUACGUUUCAUUUGAUGUCUUGGACUCCAAUGGGUACCUCAGAUGUGUUAGUGAUUUUGGAACUGCCAUAAAAAAGUUUGUUAACCUUGAAAGACUUGACUUGGAUUACGAAUAUCUCGUCGGCCCUAUUUUCGAGAAUCUGGGAUCUCUCGGAGCCACAUUAAAAUAUUUAAACAUUACAGUGACCUACGCUUAUGAUGUCAUAAGCGACUUGCGAUGGUGGAACCUCACAAAGCUUGCCCCGAGCUCGUUGUUUCCUUAAAAGUAUUGAUGUAUCCAGGAAGGAUCAUCUUGUCUCCACACAUGCCGUUGGUCAGUCUGUCCAUACAGUCCAUACAGGACCUAUACCAC